GACAGAGGGUGCAAACGUUGCUCGGAAUUACUGGGCGUAAAGCGCGUAUAGGCUGACCGGAAAGUCGGGCGUGAAAGCCCUGGGCUCAACCCAGGAACUGCACUCGAAACUCCCCGGUCUAGAGUGGUGGAGAGGGAAGUGGAAUUCCUGGUGUAGAGGUGAAAUUCGUAGAUAUCAGGAGGAACACCAGUGGCGAAGGCGGCUUCCUGGACACCAACUGACGCUGAGACGCGAAAGCGUGGGGAGCAAACAGG
rnacentral:rRNA from 1 species